rnacentral:rRNA from 1 species
UACAGAGGCCUCAAGCGUUGUUCGGAAUUACUGGGCGUAAAGGGAAUGUAGGUGGUGGCGUAAGUCAGAUGUGAAAGCCCUGGGCUUAACCUGGGAAGUGCAUUUGAUACUGCACAGCUGGAGUGCGGCAGAGGGGGAUGGAAUUCCGCGUGUAGCAGUGAAAUGCGUAGAUAUCAUUUGGAACGCCAAUGGUGAAAACAGGUAGCUGGGGCUGUGCUGACGCUGAGACACGAAAGCCAGGGGAGCAAACGGG